UCCAAGGCUUCAGCCCACCUGUGAGUAAA
rnacentral:sRNA from 1 species